rnacentral:rRNA from 1 species
AACGAACGCUGGCGGCAGGCUUAACACAUGCAAGUCGAGCGAGACCUUCGGGUCUAGCGGCGGACGGGUGAGUAACGCGUGGGAACGUGCCCUUCUCUACGGAAUAGCCCCGGGAAACUGGGAGUAAUACCGUAUACGCCCUUUGGGGGUAAGAUUUAUCGGAGAAGGAUCGGCCCGCGUUGGAUUAGGUAGUUGGUGGGGUAAUGGCCCACCAAGCCGACGAUCCAUAGCUGGUUUGAGAGGAUGAUCAGCCACACUGGGACUGAGACACGGCCCAGACUCCUACGGGAGGCAGCAGUGGGGAAUCUUAGACAAUGGGGGCAACCCUGAUCUAGCCAUGCCGCGUGAGUGAUGAAGGCCUUGGGGUUGUAAAGCUCUUUCAGCUGGGAAGAUAAUGACGGUACCAGCAGAAGAAGCCCCGGCUAACUCCGUGCCAGCCGCCGCCGUAA